UUCUACACGUUUAUAAGGAAUGUUUUGAACUCUCGAACCGAUAUGGGAUCUCACAUACUUCAUCAUAAUCCCAUCAUAUUUAGGAUCAAAAUGAAAACAAGCUGCAAUGAUAGGAAUGAAGAAUCUGAUUGAAGAGUAAUUCAAAGGUUGUGAGAGUCUUUGAGCAAAGCUAUUUAAUUCUCUUGAUCUCUUUUUGGAUACAGAGUCAUGGAACUAUUCAAAAAGAGGCCAUUCCUACUGUGAUUACUUGCAAAGGUAUGACAUAGGCUUGUCUUGUUA